rnacentral:tRNA from 1 species
GGAGAGAUGGCUCAGUGGUUAAGAGCACUGUCUGCUCAUCCAGAGGACCUGGGUUCAAUUCCCAGCACCUACA